CGCACAUUGCGCCCUUUGGUAUUCCGAAGGGCAUGCCUGUUCGAGCGUCGUUAACACUCAUUCAAGCAUGUCUUUGCUUGGUGUUAGUCUCUAAAAAGCGUACGCUUUUAGGCUUCAAAUACAUCGGCGGCGCACGAUAGCACCCUGAAGCAUACGGGCUUCGUAUGCUCUGUUGGUGCUUGACGGCGCAGAAAGCCCCAUAGUUUUAAAGGAUAACCCCUUUUACUAUCACGUUUGACCUCGGAUCAGGUAGGAAUACCCGCUGAACUUAA
rnacentral:misc_RNA from 1 species